ACAUGCCUACAACAUAGCGUUAAUGCACCAGAUCCCAUUAGAAAUCUAUAAUUAAGUGCACUCAGGCUAGAGUAGUACUAGGAUGGGUGACCGCCUGGGAAGUCCUAGUAUUUUACAUGCC
rnacentral:rRNA from 1 species